rnacentral:rRNA from 1 species
AUUGAACGCUGGCGGCAUGCCUUACACAUGCAAGUCGAACGGCAGCACGGGUGCUUGCACCUGGUGGCGAGUGGCGAACGGGUGAGUAAUACAUCGGAACGUACCUUAUCGUGGGGGAUAACGCAGCGAAAGCUGUGCUAAUACCGCAUACGCCCUAAGGGGGAAAGCGGGGGAUCGAAAGACCUCGCGCGAUUAGAGCGGCCGAUGCCUGAUUAGCUUGUUGGUGGGGUAAAAGCCCACCAAGGCGACGAUCAGUAGCUGGUCUGAGAGGACGAUCACGCCACACUGGGACUGAGACACGGCCCCAGACUCCUACGGGAGGCAGCAGUGGGGAAUUUUGGACAAUGGGGGAAACCCUGAUCCAGCAAUGCCGCGUGAGUGAAGAAGGCCUCGGUUGUAAG